rfam:Triticum aestivum genome assembly, contig: Triticum_aestivum_CS42_TGACv1_scaffold_113995_2AS
UAUGUACUCCCUCCGUCCCAAAAUUCUUGUCUUAGAUUUGUCUAUAUACGGAUGUAUCUAAUACUAAAAUGUGACUUGAUACAUCUGUAUUUAGACAAAUCUAAGACAAGAAUUUUGGGACGGAGGGAGUAUAUU